rnacentral:rRNA from 1 species
CCUACGGGUGACAGCAGUGAGGAAUAUUGGUCAAUGGGCGUAAGUCUGAACCAGCCAAGUCGCGUGAGGGAUGAAGGUUCUAUGGAUUGUAAACCUCUUUUAUAUGGGAAUAAAAUGUGGGACGUGUCCUGUUUUGUAUGUACCUUAUGAAUAAGGAUCGGCUAACUCCGUGCCAGCAGCCGCGGUAAUACGGAGGAUCCGAGCGUUAUCCGGAUUUAUUGGGUUUAAAGGGUGCGUAGGGGGCCUUUUAAGUCAGUGGUGAAAGUCUGUGGCUCAACCGUAGAAUUGCAGUUGAAACUGGGAGGCUUGAGUAUGUUAGAGGCAGGCGGAAUGCGUGGUGUAGCGGUGAAAUGCUUAGAUAUCACGCAGAACCCCGAUUGCGAAGGCAGCCCGCCAGGCCGUGACUGACGCUGAUGCACGAAAGCGUGGGGAUCAAACAGGAUUAGAUACCCGAGUAGUC